GACGAACCGUGCGAACGUUGUUCGGAAUCGCUGGGCUUAAAGGGCGCGUAGGCGGGUCAGCAAGUCUGGGGUGAAAUCUUUCGGCUUAACCGGAAAAGUGCCUUGGAUACUGCUGGUCUCGAGGGAGGUAGGGGUCUGUGGAACUUCUGGUGGAGCGGUGAAAUGCGUUGAUAUCAGAAGGAACGCCGGUGGCGAAAGCGACGGACUGGACCUCUUCUGACGCUGAGGCGCGAAAGCUAGGGGAGCAAACGGG
rnacentral:rRNA from 1 species